rnacentral:rRNA from 1 species
ACCAGCCUACUCAUGCAUGUCUAACUACACACGGGUGGUCUGUGAAACUGCGAAUGGAUCAUUAAAUAGGUUAUGGUUCCUUUGGUCGCUCCUCUCCCGUUACUUGCAUAACUGUGGUAAUUCUGGAGCUAUUACAUGCCGACAAGCGCCGACCUCCGGGGACGCGUGCAUUUAUCAGACCAUGACCAAUCCGGGCCCGCCCGGCAGCUUUGGUGACUCUAGAUAACCUCGAGCCGAUCGCACGCCCCCGCGGCGGCGACGACCCAUUCGAAUGUCUGCCCUAUCAACUUUCGAUGGUACUGUCUGUGCCUACCAUGGUGACCACGGGUGACGGGGAAUCAGGGUUCGAUUCCGGAGAGGGAGCCUGAGAAACGGCUACCACAUCCAAGGAAGGCAGCAGGCGCGCAAAUUACCCACUCCCGACCCGGGGAGGUAGUGACGAAAAAUAACAAUACAGGACUCUUUCGAGGCCCUGUAAUUGGAAUGAGCGCACUUUAAAUCCUUGAGCGAGGAUCCAUUGGAGGGCAAGUCUGGUGCCAGCAUCCGCGCU